AUUUUGAUUCUGAGGAAUUAACUUUUUCAUCUGUUCUUGUCAGUUUAAUACCUGGCAUGCUGGGCAUUGCCUGGCACCAAUACUAAACUGAUUUUUGCUUAUCCAGUUAACACCGAAGCUUGCUUCAGUUGACUCACGAAUUGUCCCGGUCUUACACUACCAUCAUGAUUUGUCUGAUCAUG